rnacentral:lncRNA from 1 species
AACAAUACCCUACUGAAGGCUGCAUGAGACCCAUCUCAAAAAAGCAAAAACAAAACAGAACAAACCCAGGCAGGCUAGCCUGAUCUAUGUAGCAAGUUCCAGGACAGCCAGGACUGUAGAAAGACCCUGUCUCAAAAAAAAAAAAGUCCUGGUUGAGCAGUCAAAUUACAGGUGAGAAUUCUAAACUCAGUAAACUGAGUAGGACCAGAGUCCUUGCAACCCACCGGACAGCCCUAUCUGUCCGGGAUGCCUGUUAGCACUCUGACCACCGUAUCCCCACCUCAGCCGGCAGAACAGAAGAAAGACACCUUCUCUGAGGGGAAGCCUUUACAGCUUCCUGUUUGCCAGACCCUCAGACCAUGGCUGUGCCUCCUCAGACUGGGAAUUGGGGGGCUGGCAGAGAACCCAGGUGGAGUGCUCAUGUGCAGGACCCUGGCAGAGAACCCAGGUGGAGUGCUCAUGUGUAGGACCCUGGCAGAGAACCCAGGUGGAGUGCUCAUGUGCAGGACCCUGGGUUGUCUCGGCUUCGGUUUGCAGGGGAGAGUUGGGUUGGGUUGGGUUGGUUUAGUUUUGGGUUGGUUUAUUGAUUGUGUUUGUUUUGUUUUGUUUUUUAUUUGCUUUGAUUUUUGGUUUGGUUUGGUUUGGUUUGGUUUGGUUUGGUUUUUUAUCUCUGUGUAGCCCUGACUGUCCUAGAACUCACUCUGUAGACCAGGCUGACCUCAAACUUGGAAUUCUACCUGCCUCUGCUUCCUGAGUGCUGGGAUUAAAGGUGUGGACCACCAUCUUCGUUGGUUUGGCCUGUCUGUCUGUCUGUCUAUUUUAGACAGGUAUCAUAUAGCCCAGCUUACUCUCAAACUCACCAUAUAGCUCAGGGUGGCCUUGAACUCCUUCCAGCUUCAUCUAUUGAGCACUAGGAUUAUAGGUUUAUGCACUGGGCCCAGCUCAGAAUUCCCCAGCAUGGCCUCAGAUUUGUGGUCCUCCUGCCUCAGCUCCUCUAGUACUGGAAUUUCAGGGCUAUGCCACCACCGCGACCUGGCCCAGCCAUGUUAAGUUUUUUGUAAUUCUGAAUGCCCACCCUCUCAGCCCAACCUGGAGUACCAUCAUCACACAGCAUGUGUGGACUAGGUGGGCAUUUUUCAUGCUGACCUCUAUCGAAAGAACCAUAGUAGAAAAGCAAGAAUGAUUUUAAUUACAAUAGGACUUCUGUGUUUGUGUCCCACAUGUUCUGCCAUCUAGCAGUAGCCCCAAGGAUGUCAGGCUCACCCUGCCAUCCCCACUACAGGGCAGGGUCAGGCCAAGCAUCACGUGGAUUCCUGGCUUGGAGAGGGAGGGCAAGCAGUUGGGGCAGGACCAGAUCUAAAAACUCGGAGCUCAACCUGCUGGCUCCCAACAUAGGAAGUACCAAAUGGGUUGACAAGGAAACCGGAGACUGCCGCCUACGUGUGAUCUCCAGCUUUGCCUGUGAGGAGUUUUGUGACAAGCCAUUAACCCCUCAUGCCUCAGUUGCUCAUCUGUAAAAUCUCUCUGCCCAGCAAGUUGUGAGUAUUAGAUGAACUUGUACUUGUUAAAGUGCUUAUGAACUACGGCAGUGCUGAGAUGAGCAUCAGUAGAGCCCCUGCCUAGAGUCCCCCAAUGAGGGGCUGGGGGUGUGGCUCAGUGGUAGAGCCCCUGCCUAGAAUCCCCAGUGAGGGGCUGGGGGCGUGGCUCAGUGGUAGAGCCCCUGCCUAGAAUCCCCCAGUGAGGGGCUGGGGGCGUGGCUCAGUGGUAGAGCCCCUGCCUAGAAUCCCCCAGUGAGGGGCUGGGGGCGUGGCUCAGUGGUAGAGCCCCUGCCAGAAUAGAUACAAUAUAUUCAUACUGUAAUAUGAACCCUAUUUGUUCUUGUGAGUUUCUGAGGAAUUUUGGAUAUUUAGCUCCUGAGAGCCAGGAAAAGCACAGACUCUGAGUCUCAAGGGUCUGCUUGAGCUCCAUAGCAAGAUUCUGUUUAAAAUCUUCAGAUCCUGGGGCUGGAGAAGUGGCUUAGAGAUUAAGAAGACUUGCUGUUCUUCCAGAGAACAUGAAUUUGGUUCCCAGCGUCCACACUGCGCAGCUUAGAUGCACAUGUAAUUCUGCCUCCAGGGGCAUCUGACACUCUGCUUUGGUUUCCACAGUCACCCAUACACAAGUAGCAUACACUCACACAUACACACACAUGUGGCAUAUGCCCACAUAGACAAAAACACAUGUGUAUAAAUAAAAAUAAACUUCAAAGAAAAGAAAAGGAGCCGGGAGGUGGUGGCGCACGCCUUUAAUCCCAGCACUUGCGAGGCAGAGGCAGGUGGGUCUCUGAGUUCAAGGCCAGUCUGGUCUACAGAGUUAGUUCCAGGACAGCCAGGGCUACACAGAGAAACCCUGUCUCAAAAAGAAAAGAAAAGGGAAAAAAAAGGAAGUGAG